GACGAACGCUGGCGGCGUGCUUAACACAUGCAAGUCGAACGGAAAGGCCCUGCUGUUGUGGGGUGCUCGAUUGGCGAACGGGUGAGUAACACGUGUGUAACCUACCCUUGACUUUGGGAUAACUUCAGGAAACUCGGGCUACUACCGGAUAGGUGCUCCUGCUGCAUGGUGGGGGUUGGAAAGUUUCGGCGGUUGGGGAUGGACUCGCGGCUUAUCAGCUUGCUGGUGGGGUAGUGGCUUACCAAGGCUUUGACGGGUAGCCGGCCUGAGAGGGUGACCGGCCACAUUGGGACUGAGAUACGGCCCAGACUCCUACGGGAGGCAGCAGAGGGGAGUAUUGCACAAUGGGCGGAAGCCUGAUGCAGCAACGCCGCGUGCGGGAUGACGGCCUUCGGGUUGUAAACCGAUUUCGCCUGUGACGAAGCGUGAGUGACGGUAAUGGGUAAAGAAGCACCGGCUAACUACGUG
rnacentral:rRNA from 1 species